AGGGAUGUAGCGCAGUUGGUAGCGCGUAUGCUUUGGGAGCAUGAUGUCGCAGGUUCGAAUCCUGUCAUCCCUA
rnacentral:tRNA from 3 species